GCCUGUGUAGCUCAGUGGCAGAGAACUAGACUUGUGAACCAGGGGCCGUGAGUUCAAUCCUCACAGGAGGCA